rnacentral:rRNA from 1 species
GACGAACCGUGCGAACGUUGUUCGGAAUCACUGGGCUUAAAGGGCGCGUAGGCGGGCGGCCGCGUCCGGGGUGAAAUCCCACGGCUCAACCGUGGAACGGCCUCGGAUACGGGCGGCCUCGAGGGGGGGGGUAGGGGCAUCUGGAACUGUGAGUGGAGCGGUGAAAUGCGUUGAUAUUCACAGGAACUCCGGUGGCGAAGGCGAGGUGCUGGACCCCAUCUGACGCUGAGGCGCGAAAGCCAGGGGAGCGGAACGGG